rnacentral:lncRNA from 1 species
UGUGUGUGUUUGGUCGACGUUUACACAGAGCCAGGAGAAGGGUUCUUUUCAAAACCCUAAACUCACUAAAAUCCAUCAAAAUCUAAGGGAAAUCGAGUUGGAAAUUAGGGCUUUAACUAAAUUCAUGAUCAACCAUGCUAGGAGAUCACAAGUUGACUCUAAACAAGCUAGGUGGGAGCUUGGAAAGGAACGGGUCAAACGGAUCAUGGAUGCGAAGAAUGUUUGCGCGAACGCGAGGUAAGUAAAGCUUACGCCCAAUUGUAGUAAACGUAUGUAUUUUAUAUAUGAUAAAUGUGACAACCGAUUACAUUCGAAAUUGAAGUUCCGACACUAAGCGAUGUGAGUCGGAACGAAUAAAAAUGAUCAAAACCAUGGUUAAUGGUAAAAUGGACAAAAGGGUAAUUUAGUCGUGAAUCGACUAAGAAUUUAUAAGAUUUCUUUAAGGUUACCUUAUAGCGAAACUUGAAAUGGGUCGGAUGUGUGAAGGGGAUAUUAAAAGUCAUGUUUUGACAUAAGUAUAAAUGUUUGGUCAUAAAUACCAAAUGGGUCAAAUGGUGGUGAUGACACCAUUUGACAAUAUCGACUAAUGUUUGGUUGUUAAGUUAAAUGUUCACAGGAGUGAACGGGAAGUGGAUUAUUGCGUUGCUAUAAAGUAGCGGCUAAUAAAAGAAAGGUACAAAACGGGUCUAUAUGUUGACUCGAGCCAGGUGAAUGCCAAGAGUGCCCGGAUGAAGAUCAAGCUCGAUGAGGAACCGAACACAAUAAAAUCUAACACUCGGGAUUAAAGCUUCCGCACGGCGUUACGCCAUAUCUUUUAAAUGACGAACUUAUUUAUAUUACGUUGAAAACUUUUAAGUUGUAAAAAGUUUUUUUUUGAUUACUUGUAUUUUCUAAGAAUACUUAAUCGCAAUUUCAUGUUUAUUUUCGAUAUUUAUACGAAAACCUUA